GGGAAGAAUUUAAAGUCGGGCCUGCCCACUGAAGUAUUUUGAAGGGCCGCGGUAUUUUGACCGUGCAAAGGUAGCAUAAUCAUUAGUCUUUUAAUUGAAGGCUGGAAUGAAUGGUUUGACGAAGUAUUGACUGUCUCUUUGUAAAAAAUGGAAUUUAACUUUUGAGUCAAAAGGCUUAAAUGAUAGUAGAGGACGAGAAGACCCUAUAGAGUUUUAUAUGAAUAAUAAAUAAUUUUAUUUUGGUAGUGGUAAAUUUUAAUUAUUAUUUGUAUUGUGUUGGGGUGACAUAAAGAUAUAAGAAACUCUUUAUUAUUAUAAACAUAAAUUUAUGAGUUGGUGAUCCAUUAUUAAUGAUUAUAAGAUCAAAUUACCUUAGGGAUAACAGCGUAAUUUUCUUUGAGAGUUCGUAUCGAAAAGAAAGUUUGCGACCUCGAUGUUGGACUAAGAUAAUGGUUUGGUGUAGCAGCUAAAUUAAUAAGUCUGUUCGACUUUUAAAAUCUUAC
rnacentral:rRNA from 1 species